rnacentral:rRNA from 1 species
UAGAGUUUGAUCAUGGCUCAGAACGAACGCUGGCGGCAGGCUUAACACAUGCAAGUCGAACGCGUGUAGCAAUACACGAGUGGCGCACGGGUGAGUAACGCGUGGAUAUCUGCCUUUUGGUUCGGAAUAACCCCGGGAAACUGGGGCUAAUACCGGAUGGUUCCUUCGGGAUAAAGAUUUAUCGCCAAAAGAUGAGUCCGCGUACGAUUAGCUAGUUGGUGAGGUAAUGGCUCACCAAGGSGACGAUCGUUAGCUGGUCUGAGAGGACGAUCAGCCACACUGGGACUGAGACACGGCCCAGACUCCUACGGGAGGCAGCAGUGGGGAAUAUUGGACAAUGGGGGCAACCCUGAUCCAGCCAUGCCGCGKGAGUGAUGAAGGCCUUCGGGUUGUAAAGCUCUUUUGGCGGGGASGAUGAUGACGGUACCCGCAGAAUAAGCCCCGGCUAACUUCGUGCCAGCCGCCGCGGUAAUAC